GAUGAACGCUAGCGGCAGGCCUAACACAUGCAAGUCGAGGGGUAACUAGAGUGAUAGCAAUAUUACUUUGGCUAGACCGGCGCACGGGUGCGUAACACGUAUGCAACCUACCUUAUACUGGGGAAUAACUUCGAGAAAUCGGCGCUAAUACCCCAUAACACUGCGGAGAGGCAUCUCUUUGCAGUUAAAGCUCCGGCGGUAUAAGAUGGGCAUGCGUCCAAUUAGCUAGUUGGUGAGGUAACGGCUCACCAAGGCUACGAUUGGUAGGGGUUCUGAGAGGAUGAUCCCCCACACUGGUACUGAGACACGGACCAGACUCCUACGGGAGGCAGCAGUGAGGAAUAUUGCGCAAUGGACGAAAGUCUGACGCAGCCAUGCCGCGUGCAGGAUGACGGCCCUAUGGGUUGUAAACUGCUUUUGUACGGGAAUAAACCCUUCUACGUGUAGGAGGCUGAAGGUACCGUAAGAAUAAGCACCGACUAACUCCGUGCCAGCCGCCGCAGUAA
rnacentral:rRNA from 1 species